CAAAGUUGCAGUAGGAAGGAAGGAAUGGGGAAAAAGUUCUCGGUUGUGUGCAGAUGAGUUGUGUUGCGUUCAUGAACUGCUCGGAUUUCUAGGCAUCAGCCACCUUGCUCUCCGUAACAAUGUGGACCCCAGCACUUCUACUGUUCAUUAUUUGACUCGUCUAGUGUCGAUAUAUACAAAAGUAUCCUUUCCAUUUUAUCCAUAUGUGACGACCGUUAAUCCUCCCUCCUUUUUUUUAUUCCAACACAUUAUCGAGGACAGCUAGGUGGGAGAUGCCUAGAAAUCCGAGCAGUUCUUGAACACGACAUGAGCGGCUAUCUAGCGCCAUGGCGCCAUACAAGCUUAAACGUCAUCUCCAAAUGAACGCCCGUCGCUUCAGAACAAGUCGAUGGAUUAUUUUGUGCGCCUUCAUGAAAACACAGAGAAAUGGGCAACUUUUUUGAGAAAAACUACAAAGAAACUAAAGACUAACUCAAGCCAUGACAAAGACGCGACCGAAAGUCAACAUGAAGGGAUAGCACUGCCACCUCCUGCAGUUUCACUGACUGACACUAUCAUCAGAAAAUAUAACGGCCGGGUCUGCAUGGAAAACAAGCUGGAUAGCGGCUCUCGAGGAUCGGAGUUGGAUGCCCCUGAAAUAGACGAAGUGAUGUCAGGGUGUGAUUUUAUGUAAAUAAUUCUCAAUCCAGUUCAGAGUAGUUUUAUUAAAUUUUUAUGUGCAUUUAAAUAGUCUUGAAAUUUUAUACUAUUUCUUCAACUCUUGAACAUAAAAUAUGCUAUUUUACGUUGUUAUGCAGAAGAACAUUUAUUCAGAGACUCAAAUGAAAACGGUCAUCCAAAUUAUGACAUCAAAGCACGAUUGGGUUAUAAAAUCGAGGUAUGUCUUAAGUAAUAAUACACAAAGUACAAAAGGAAUUGGUAUUAAUGCUUCUAUAAAUGAACAUGUUUUUCAUAGGUACUAAAUUGAUCAGUGAAGCCAGUGUCAAAGCAAACCCUAAGCUUCAUCACUGCAAUACGAUCUUGCUAAAGUAAACUAGGGUCUUCCCAGUCCCAAUCAAGAAAACAAUAAAACACUACUCUGCAGUGGGCGAGUACCGUCCACACCUGUAGCCUGACAAGUGAGCGUCGCAUUUGAUACUGUAUGAAAAGUAGAGGACUCCUUUUCUCAGUUGACAGCUUAGGGAAUGAUGUCCGCGCUCAGGAAAAACGAGACAAAUCCCCGCUUGAUCGUUGUAAAGCACGUCUCUGUCCCAGACUUCAAACCGCAACUCCUGCCCCACCUCCACCGAACCAAAGUCAUAGGUGGCGUUCCACACAGGGUUGUUGUCGUCCAUCACUGUUGGCGUCUCCUCGUACACACCGUUGUAGAAGAUCUUCACAAAGGCGUCUGUUUUGGUAAAAGUGUCAGCCUUAAGACCAGCAGCUUUGUGGAUCUCCAGUUUAAGAGUUCCACGACCACCCCGCAAAGGACAGCAGUUAUGGUCGAGGUUUGGGGUCGGAGAGCAAUUCUUUAAACCCAGCUCCUCCUCCUGCAGUUUGUUCUCUUGAAUAUACUCUGAGAUGAUAUCUCUCAGGUUAUCGCUAAUCUGAGGGUCCUCUACCAGAUGGUGCAGAGGGGAAAUCCCGUACGAAACAACGUCUGGGUUUUCUUGGAGACUGUUCAUCCAACUUUGAUAGGCUUCUGAAGGGUCCUGCUGGUAGAGGAUGUCCGGAAAGUAUUUCUCCCCUCCAAUGACUUCAGUUUUAUGGGUCAUGAAGCCUUGAUAGAAGCCAAGGCUCAGGUUUCCCUUCAUCAGGCUGUCACACUUGUUUGAGAAGGAUGCAUUGGCAGGUAGGAAACCCAAGGCCAUGCGGAGUUCAGCAUUCAGGCAGUUUUUAAUCUCUGCCUCUUUAUAGCCUUUGAGUGUGGCCAGGCAGGUCCUGAAGGCUGUGAUUCGCCUCACCUUGCCACCAAGUUGAACCUUGGAAAUGAAAUAACAGAAAAUUUAGUUGUUACGUUCCCGUAGCAAAGGAACUAUGAGCUAGGCAUCUGACCUGGUGGAUGUAAUGUGUCCCGUAGGUGUCAAUAAGUCGUCUGUACAUGGCUUUGC